UAUGCGCAGAGUAGACCCUCUCUAGUGUUUACUUCUCUCCUUAACACUCUAAAGACUUUACUGUUGAAUAUCUUAUCAAAACACGAAGUCUCUGGUAGUUUGACACAUAAACCGGGAAGACUGCGAGGAAGUUGAAGAUUCUACCGUUUUAUUUUUUCCUUUUCGUCGACUAAGUGGUAGAAAUUCUAAUUUUUCGUACUGUUUUGUCGUUCGUUGCGCGUGGUGAAAUAUAUUGACUGAUGUAAUGUACUCAGAGCAGUUCGAAAGUACAGCAAGCUCACAAUUCACGAGGCAAAGGUGUAACAUGUACAGACAUGUGGGACAUGGAAAGAUGAGUAGUUAGAGGCUGAAAGACAUUUGUAAGAUUUUGUAGACACAACUUGCAUUCUCUUGGUAGAUCAUAAAUUGGUAGCUCCUCCCCAUAGUUCCACACCUUUAGUGCCCCUAGCUGCAUGAAUCUUGGAACUUGUCCAUCAGGUGUACUGGUAACUUCCUCAAUUACUGUUGGGUUGAAUGACCUCUGUCCCUCCAGUGCAGAUGUUCCCUUGGCGGAAGCCUUCCAGUGAAGUUUAAGUUUGCGACUAUCUGCUUUUAGUGACUUAAUCAUUUCUGAUCUGACUGGAAUUUCAAGAAGCUUUAAAACCAAAAUGCCAGAAAGGACUUUGGUAUCUCUGAUCAGCUCCCAUUCCAAACAACUUAGGAAAAGUUAACCACUCUGCUCCAUGAUCUUUGAUUACUUUAAUUGCUUCUUGUAACAUUGGCCUCUGCACUUGUUUGUGAAAAAGGUUAAUAGCUGCUGGGUCCUUCAGUGACAUCUUCACCUGUUGUGAUGUUAAAGGAAAAUGUUCUGUAGGAGACAUCAGCGUUUUGCUUAAAGUUUCAUGGUGCUUUAGAACUGUUGCUGGCCAUAACCUUGCUAGGUAACCACUGGAGAAUCCAAGUUCUGCAUCACUAGCCUGGGAUGUAUUCAGAGAUGAGAUGAUAAACUUAUCGAGGAAUUCAAACAAAAACUUGAUUUCAACUUGAAUCAUAGGACUGGAGCUCAGCUUAAUGACAUCUUGCCAAAUAGUCUGGGGGCUAUCUGAUUUUGGCAAUCUUUCAAGGAGACUCUCAGCGAGCUGUAAACAAGCUUUUCCAUACUUAAGAUACCACUGGAGAGUUUCAUGACAAUAUGUCCACCUUGUGUCAAUGAAUGUCUGGGGAAGGGGUGGCUCUUUACUUAGAAUACCAAGAGAGACAUACAUAACUUUGUAUUGGCUUGGACACUCAUGAUGGAGCCAAGAUAUUUUAUAGAGUAAUUGUAAAACAUGGGGGUUGCUCAUGUCACCCUUGGCCCCAAACUCGGCCUGGCACAUUCUUCUCAGCAUAAUGUUUAGUACAUGUGGGAACCAUCCUAAAAAAAUAUCUCUUUUUCAAAAAUUCUGGCAUUGUUAGCUAAAAGACCGUUUACUUUUCCCUUUUGGGUAGAGGCAUUGUUCCCAACCAACCUCGAAACAUUGGUAAUAUCAUAUUCAUUUUUUAUAACAUGGUAAUCUACAUCAGACUGGUGUUUUUCAGACCCACUUGCAGUUAGGCUGUUUCCAAGGACAUAACCUCGUGGCUUGCUCUCUAUGGGACACCAGGUGUGAACACCCACUACGUGCCUCUCCUCUCCUCCUUUGAAGGAGUCAUCGCUCCAGAGAUGAAAAUCGUACUCGGAAUAUGAAUAACUAACGAGAAAGAUUUUUGUAUAUUCAAAAUAAAUAAAUUUAAAACCCACGAUAUAUUAUAAACACCGAUUGUUUUCAAGAAAAUAGCGAAAAGCGCAGUGAAGCAUCGUUAUUAUUCAACUCUAAUUUAAAUUAAUGGAAUUUUGUAUUGUCUCAGUAAAGCAUGCAAGUAGGUGAACAUAGCAAUCAAAUUUCUGGAAGAGUUUUAGCCUCCAGUGAUCUAUCGAUAGCUUUCCACUCUAGCAUUGUAGCAAACAGACGAGCCAUGUUAUAGUUGGCUAUGUCAUAGGAUGUCACGCGUGAAUUUGAUAUUGUUAUUGUGGCGUUAUGUAAUGUGUCAUGUUAGGUCGAGUGUGUGACAUCAUGACGUCAACAAAAUCACAUAAUAUGCGAGAAAAAACCUCCGAAAUAUGGUAUCCUUGGCAAUGUACUUUUACAGUGGAUCGAUAUUGUAUGAUUGUAGGUGUUUAGAGUCGGUCUUAUUAUUUACUGGUUCCAGCACAAUA